rnacentral:rRNA from 1 species
CACGUAGGGUGCGAGCGUUGUCCGGAAUUAUUGGGCGUAAAGAGCUCGUAGGCGGUGUGUCGCGUCGGCCGUGAAAACCUGCAGCUUAACUGUGGCGUGCGGUCGAUACGGGCAUCACUGGAGUUCGGCAGGGAGACUGGAAUUCCUGGUGUAGCGGUGAAAUGCGCAGAUAUCAGGAGGAACACCGGUGGCGAAGGCGGGUCUCUGGGCCGAUAACUGACGCU